rnacentral:rRNA from 1 species
CCUACGGGGGGCAGCAGUGGGGAAUAUUGCGCAAUGGGCGCAAGCCUGACCCAGCGACGCCGCGUGAAGGACGAAGGCCCUCGGGUUGUAAACUUCUUUUAUUCGGGACGAAACAAAUGACGGUACCGAAUGAAUAAGCCACGGCUAACUGCGUGCCAGCAGCCGCGGUAAUACGUAGGUGGCAAGCGUUAUCCGGGUUUACUGGGUGUAAAGGGCGUGUAGGCGGGGGGGCAAGUCAGACGUGAAAUUCCAGGGCUCAACCCGGGAACUGCGUUUGAACCUGGCCUUCUUGAGUGUUGGAGAGGAUGGUGGAAUUCCGGGUGUAGGGGUGAAAUGCGUAGAUAUAAGGAGGAACAUCAGUGGCGAAGGCGGCUGUCUGGAAAUUAACUGACGCUGAGGAGCGAAAGCGUGGGUAGCAAACAGGAUUAGAUACCCGAGUAGUC